AUGGGUGUUUCACCUUUGCCCUUUGAUCCUAUCCUACCCACACAGUAUUUAGAUUUUGACACCUUAAAGGAUCAUAAAAUUCUCAAGGGAAAGGUUGAUAACUUUACUUAUAAUUUAUUGUUUAACCAAAAAUCUGUUGUGCACACAUAUUUGACUGCGCCUGCUCUUUUUGAUUAUCAUAACAAAGGAAGAUAUUUUGUUCUUGAGAGCGAGGCCCGAGCUCACAACGCAGCAGUGGAGGCAGCACAGCAGGCCGAAGCAUCCGCACCGAGAGCCUCCGUGAGCUACCACACCAACUACUAUCCAGGCUACCGAUUGACUACUAAGUUAGGCCGAAAGCCUAAGCUUGGGGGAGUACGUGUUUCCACCGACUUUACAUUUAUGUUUACUUAUUUCAUUUGUCGGUGUUCACACUUUUUCAUUGUAUCAUCCAUGUUUAGAUUUAUUCUCUUGCUUUCUUCUUGUGUGUUUGAAAAACUUUAUAAAAACAAAAAAAUCGUUAUGGUUAGUUUACUUUCUAUGCAUGCUUAG
rnacentral:rRNA from 1 species